CCCUUAGACGUUCUGGGCCGCACGCGCGCUACACUGACGAAGGCAACGAGCUUUCCUUUACCGAAAGGUACGGGUAAUCUUUUGAAACUUCGUCGCGCUGGGGAUAGAUCCUUGCAAUUUUUGAUCUUAAACGAGGAAUGCCUAGUAAGCGCAAGUCAUCAACUUGCGUUGAUUACGUCCCUGCCCUUUGUACACACCGCCCGUCGCUACUACCGAUUGAAUGGUUUAGUGAGGCCUUCGGAUCCGCGACUCGUUUUGUGGAGAAGUUGGACAAACUCAGUCAUUUAGAGGAAGUAAAAGUCGUAACA
rnacentral:rRNA from 1 species